rnacentral:rRNA from 1 species
AACGAACGCUGGCGGCAUGCCUAACACAUGCAAGUCGAACGAGACCUUCGGGUCUAGUGGCGCACGGGUGCGUAAUGCGUGGGAACCUGCCCUUAGGUUCGGAAUAACUCCCCGAAAGGGGUGCUAAUACCGGAUAAUGUCUUCGGACCAAAGAUUUAUCGCCUUUGGAUGGGCCCGCGUUGGAUUAGCUAGUUGGUAGGGUAAAAGCCUACCAAGGCGACGAUCCAUAGCUGGUCUGAGAGGAUGAUCAGCCGCACUGGGACUGAGACACGGCCCAGACUCCUACGGGAGGCAGCAGUGGGGAAUAUUGGACAAUGGGCGAAAGCCUGAUCCAGCAAUGCCGCGUGAGUGAUGAAGGCCUUAGGGUUGUAAAGCUCUUUUACCCGGGAUGAUAAUGACAGUACCGGGAGAAUAAGCUCCGGCUAACUCCGUG